GAACCCAGUGACUCUUGCUUUGUUCUC
rnacentral:piRNA from 1 species